UGCGUGUGAGCGGGGAGCCGGGCCGGCACCGCAGGGGGCGUGUGAGCCGGAAACGGGGCCCUGUUGGUGGGAAAGGCGCGCCGGCGCCCGUGGACCCUGUGAACCCGGCACGGGGGCCUGUCAGUGGGAGACGCGCGCCGGAGCCCCGGGGCCCUGUAAGCCGGGCAUGGGGCCCUGUGAACCGGGAGGGCGGUCACCCUCUGGCCUGUGGGGCGGGCAGCUGGCAGUUGAGCCCGUGCCCCCUCCGCGUGGGGCCGGCGAGGCGCCGGCAGUGGGGCCUGCGUCCCUCCGCCACCGGGCUCCUAAUUGUUUUUAAUUUGAAGAUAAUGACAAUAUCCUGAUUUUUUACCCUACACUUUGGGUUCUGAAGUGACAUUUAUCUAAAAAUUGCUGCAUUAUUCCAGUUCAGUCUAUAGCCAAAUGUUUGUCUCUUCUUUCUGUUCUCCCCUCGAUUUUUAUUGAAGUACAGUUGAUUUACAAUAUUGUGUUAAGUGUCAGGUGUCCAGCAGAGUGAAUCAGUUACGUGUAUAUAUCAGCUCUUUUUAAAAGCAUUUUUUCCAUAUGGGCUCUUACAGAAUGUUGAGUUCCCUGUGCUAUACAGUUGGUCCUCACUAGUUAUCUAUUUCAAAAACAACAGUGUGUAGUGUGUAUGUGUCAGUCCCAAUCUCCCAACCAAAUCUAUGUUUCUUUGGUACAUGUGCACGUGUAAAACUGCUAGAGAGGGUCAGAGAGAAACAGGCUGAAUUGUGUUUUGUUUUUUUUUUACCACUUUGGCCUUGAAAAGAGAGUUCUUGAAACUUGAAAGUAUUACUGCAUUUGAAUUGUCAAGUUGAUCUGCAAGGAACAUUUCAAGAGACGCAAAAGCGGCUGCUGCCUGGUGAUCCAGCACCGUGCCUGAAGUCAGCAUCCUGGUUCUGACACUUAGCAGCUGUGGGAUCUUGGCAAAACCUGUCUUACCUGGAUUAAACGUGGGCAGUUUUUAAAAGUAGGAUGUUUUCUUGGAAAGGGUUUAGGAAAUCUUCAUACAACUCAGUAUUAAUUUUAACAGUAUCUCUGAGAGCCUUCCACAGAAGUAUGUGGAUCGUUUAUCUGGAGCUGCUGGUCAAAAAGGAAAAGAAGACAUUAAAUGGACAAGUAGAAGGAUGGUGUCACUUAGGCCAAAACAAAAGAACUGGACGGAAGGAAAGAGCAGGGGCCAUGAUGGAGAGAUCAAGGAACCUACAGCCUGCUACAGUGUCCACUGGAAGUUUCCAGCUUCUAAUGCAGUUUCAGUUUGGAGGGAAGUGUCUCCAAAGUGAGGGUAGAGUGAAGAUCUGUCAGCAGAACUAGACUUAGAAAUGACAUGAGAGGAAGAAGAAAAAUGUGAUGGAGAUGAAAAUAACCAUUCACAGGUCAAAGCACAGAUUAAUGAUGUGAGCUACCUGAAUGACUUAGUCAUCUGAAAGUGCUUCCGAGGAUGGUGAUGUCUUUACUCUAAGAAUUCCACAUUGCAAGUAGAACCACUUGGCUUGAGGUAUAAAGAUUGUGUUAGCUUGUUGAAAAUUUGGGAUGCAAUUCUUUUUUGUGAAAGAUAAAUGGAACUUUUAAAAAGCCACUGUGAACUACUUAGAGGAGAAAUUAAAAAACUGGAAAAUAGGGUUGGUGAGCUACAGAACUGUCUGAAAGAAAAGAAGUGAAUCACAGUUAGGGCAUCAGAAAGUGGAGUGGCAACGAGAGCUCGGUAGCCUGAGUUUGACCUUAAAGCAAGAAGAAGAGAAUAGAAGAAAUGCUGAUAUGUUAUAUGAAAAAAUUAGGGAGCAGUUAAGAAGAAAGGAAGACCAAUAUAGUAAAGAAGUUGACAUGAACAGCAACUAGAACUCACUCUCAGAGCUCUAGAUGGAACUGAAGACUGAGAAAUGAUCUGAAUCAGUGUCUCUCCAGGUUAUGGAAGGGCGACAUAUGACACUCAGAAGCAGCUUUCUGGAGAACGGAAUGCCAUAAUCUUACAGGAGGGAAUCCUGGCCAAUCACUUGCCGAACAAAAGCAGAAAGAAAUGGCUAAUAAGGAAAUGAACUCGGGGGUAUUUUCUGUAGUCAUUUAUGUGUGUGUAUGUAUCUGUGUAUGUAUAUAUUUUAUAAUCGAAGAGUAUGUACCUUAGAAAGUAUAGAGGCUUGUGAAAGCCUAUACAUCUAUAUUUUGAGGAGGGAUGACAUUUUUCAUGUGUCAGAUAAAGUAAUGCUUGUAAUUCAGAUCCAUUUGUCUACAGCAGUCAGGUAGGGACAUUCGAGGACCUUAUCCAAGGAGAGGCCUUUAAUAUUUUCCAUAGGAAUUGAUCUCAAAAUUAUUGCAACUAUAUUGGAGGAGCUGGCAUCCUCCUCUGAUUGCGGUUUAGGCCAGGAAGACGGUGUGUGCUCCCCCAUCGACUGCGCUACACACCCAAGUCCCUCUGCUUUGGAGUGAGCGUGUGCGUCCCUCCAUGCACAUCAUCACCUUCAGUGUCUAAAUCAGAGUCCGUUCUUGGCUCCACUGUCAUUUCUUUAACCAAUGCCCUGUCAACGACCUUUGCAUAUCAUUUACAGUUUUCCAAUUUUUAAAAACUGCAAGAUCAGUUGUAAAAACAUUUUUGAACACUUUUAAAAAGUAACUUCUUCAGAAUAAAGUUAUAAAAGUCCCUCCUCCUCUGCUUCCACGAAGAAAAACCAUACCUCUUCUGCUAGCAAUGCUGCUAAGUCCUUCAGUCGUGUCCGAAUUUGUGGGACCCCAUAGACGGCAGCCCACCAGGCUCCCCCGUCCCUGGGAUUCUCCAGGCAAGAACACUGGAGUGGAUUGCCAUUUCCUUCUCCAAUGCAUGAAAGUGAAAACUGAAACUGAAGUCACUCAGUCGUGUCCAACCCUCAGCGACCCCAUGGACUGCAGCCCACCAGGCUUCUCCGUUCAUGGGAUAGAUACUCUUAAUUUUUGGCAGUGAUUUCCCUUCCUUGAUAGAUCAUUGGGGUAGUUUAUAACUUCCUCUGAUGGUAAGGAGGAAAAGUAUAGGCAAUCCGGAGACUGUAUUGUGGAUGUCAUUCUUGUAAGAAAAUUAACACUUUGCUCUAUGUAGUGUCCUAUUUUGUACAAGGAACUUCUGAAAACAGUGAUAGAUAUGACAUAAUAAAUAUUUAGUGAUAAUAAGUG